AAUUGAAAGGUAUGGAGGUGGCAACUUUAAGGAUUAAAAGAGAUACUUUGCCAUUAAUAUAAAAGCCUAUUUUAUGUGAUUUAAACUCAGAAUAAUUCCAUUUUCAGCUUCCAAAAACGAGCUCAUCUCCUUCCUUAGAGAAAUCAACAUGAAAAAUUUUCAAAACUCCAUAACUUCUUCGUUUUUGAUCCGAUUGGAGUGAUUCUUGCGGCAACGGAAAGAGGAAAACGAUACCUACUGAUUGAGAUCAUCAAAUCAAGUGUGUUUUUCAGGUACCUAGAUUCUGAACUUGGCUAGAAGUCCGUCUUUAACCUGAAGUCCCUUUGAGUCCCGACUUCCAUAAUUGCUGCAGUAGUGUAAUGUCUGACCAGUGUAGUAGCCUAGUACAUUAAUACAUUUUUCAUUGUUUACAGUUGUUGUCAGUGUGUUUAUAUUUAUUUUGGCUACGAUUGUCAUAUUUAUUCCACGGAGGUAAAUUCCCAUGAGGUGUAUGUAACACUAGUAUUAUAUGCCAGGUUAGUACGUACAAGGUACGGAAACGAUAGGCCCGAGCAAGUUGUAUUGUUUUACUAGUGUAUAUAAAUGCUUCAGUUUGUAAAGUCUUUGUAUAAUUGUUAUUUGCGAAAAAAAGUUUUAGCGA